CGGAGUGUCGUAUAGUGGUAUUACGCGCGAUUCGGGUUCGCGUAAUCUGGGUUCGAUUCCCAGCACUCCGA
rnacentral:tRNA from 1 species